GACUACUCAGGUGGCCUGAAUGUUACAGCAUCCACCUUGGAUGUGGGAGGUCGUGGGUUCGAACCCUGGCUGAGUCA